rnacentral:rRNA from 1 species
AUGAAGCCGGUGGUGGGGAUCGUGGUUUCGAACAAGAUGCAGAAGUCGGUGGUAGUGGCGGUGGACCGCCUCUUCCACAACAAGGUGUACAACCGCUACGUCAAGCGCACCUCCAAGUUCAUGGCGCACGACGAGGCCGAGACCUGCAACAUCGGCGACAGGGUUAGGCUGGAUCCUUCUAGGCCGUUGAGCAAAAACAAGCAUUGGAUUGUUGCCGAGGUUCUUCGCCGAGCUAAGAUGUAUGUUGCGCCGCCACCUGCACCAAAAGCUUCUGGUGCCACAACUCAACAAACUAGUACCAAGUCAUCUGCCUGA